AUCUAAUUAAAAUUAAUAAUAAUAAUUCUUUCUAACAUGGUUCUUAUUCUCAGCAGAAUAGUAUAGCAAUUCUCCUGUAAGAGCCAGACAUACCAGUACAGUUCUUGUCUCUGAGUAAGCAGAGGAUGAGAUCAGCUCUCCUUUCUUAAUGACAAGAUACUCUUAGACUUGACAGAAUGAAUGACGGCCAAGAAACAAAGAGGAGGAAGCAAAGAAGACAUUGAAAUUCUUCUUUUCCAGUGUGUGCCCAUUGCUUAUUGUCCUGGUACUGGAAACUAGUGAAAGGAGUCUGGCUCCACCCUCUUUUUACUUCUCUGCAGGUAUACGUAGACACUGAUCAGAUUCGCCUGUGUCUCCUCUUCUCCCGGCUGAGCAGCCUCAGCUCUCUCAGCUUCUCCUCACAGGAGAGGUGCUCCAGUCCCCAGCUUAGGGGCUCCAGAAAGACAAUGCCCACUGUUUGGCCCUCAUUUAUCAGGCUGAUGAUUUCAUUAGGGAAGCUUAUCAGGUUUAUCAGGCAUAAUUUCUUCCUUGUGAAUUGAUGCUGACCACAACUGAUAUUUUUCGUCUCUUUUCUAUGCCUGGAAAUGGUUUCCAAGACUAGCUUUUUCCAUCACCUUCCCAGAGACUGAGGUUGGAUAUAUCCCUUUGCUCAAAGAAAUGGCUUGUUCUCUGCUCCUGAGAUAUUGGUGAAAAGCUGUAAUUAAGGACCCUGAUAAUAGUACAUGGAUUCUAUUGGCGAUAAAGUAUCAUACAAGAACCGGAUGAAAUAUCUACCCUAGCAAACAGUCCUGCUGAUUGAGUGGCUCAAAUCGGACAAUGGGCUCCUGCCUACAUA
rnacentral:lncRNA from 1 species